UACGUAGGGUGCAAGCGUUGUCCGGAAUUAUUGGGCGUAAAGAGCUCGUAGGCGGUCUGUCGCGUCGGCUGUGAAAACCCGGAGCUCAACUCCGGGCCUGCAGUCGAUACGGGCAGACUGGAGUUCGGCAGGGGAGACUGGAAUUCCUGGUGUAGCGGUGAAAUGCGCAGAUAUCAGGAGGAACACCGGUGGCGAAGGCGGCCAUCUGGGACAACACUGACGCUGAGGCACGAAAGCGUGGGGAGCAAACAGG
rnacentral:rRNA from 1 species